rnacentral:lncRNA from 1 species
GGCAGCUGCCAAGUGCAUAAGGUGACUGUGGACUUACUCUGUUUUACUACCUGUUUAGGACCCUGUGUCUGAAUCCUUCAUUCCUGACUCAUACCAGCUGUGCUGUAUUGACCCAUCAGUUUCCAUCCAGACAUUAAUGCCUCAUGUGUUUAUUAAUUAUCCUACAAUACUCCUUCAGAAGUAACCUAUAACUCUAUUUACAAAACUUGCAUGAGAAGGGUAGAUGUUUUUACAGUGCUUUCUUCUUCUUAAAAAGAUACCCAACAUCCUUUCAGCAUCUCCUUAUUAAAUUGCUUUCCACUUAGCUGUAUAUAAACCCAGCCCUUAAUUCCACCAUCAUGUAACUGCACUUCACCUUAUACAAAUAAAUAAUUCCAAUGUGUAAUCAAUCCUUAUCUGAGGCAGAGAUCAUAAACCACAGCCUUAACCCUAUACAGCAUCACUGAAAUCAAUACAGCCAUCCCAAAUUAAACUAGCAAGUGGUCUUGUCCUGCAUAUCUUUGAUCUAGAGCAUUUCAGCCUAUCAUGAAUUAAGAUGAUGAUGCAGCAAACAUCUCCUGUCUUAUCCCCAUUGCCUUUCAUCCAAGUAAGAUCCUGCUUGCUCCAGUGAUUCCAAGCACUUAAUGAGUUUCUUGACAUAUCCUUCCUGUCAUGCUAUUCCAAACAGUAUAGUUAAAAGAAAAAAUGAAUUUAUCAAAUACGAAACAGGUCCUAUACACACACAGGAAAAACAAGUUAGUACGAGUUUAUUAAACUGGCCACUUAACAAUUUAAUCUCUCUGUGACUACACACUAAAUAUAAAUACUGCAUUAAAUUUCCCAAGCUUGCUGCAUCUGAUGAAACCAACUUAGAGCUCAUUACUGCAAGUACACACUAAUGAGAUCCCUUUGGUAUCACUACAAUACAGUGGUUAAUUACAGAGCCUACAUUUACUCAUGGGAUAUAUCUUUCUUCCCAUGUAUAGAGAUUCUCCCUUACCAUUUAACAAAUAGAUCCAAGCAUGUUUUUUUUAAAAAAGUUAACAAAUUUAUCAUGACAAAUUGAUAAGUGUUUCCAUUUUACAGGUGGGAAAAUCUAAGUGCAACAGCAUUACCAGGCAACUCAACAGGCUUAUUGACAAAUACUGAACCAGGAGAAAAGUGGAGCAUUUAGGGCAGUUACAUAAGGCAAACAUUUAAUUCCAAAUCAAACUGGUGUGAAAUUACCUAAUUCACCAUUUAAGAUUUUCUCCAUUUUCUCAAAGGGAGCUGAUUUGGUGUUUUCAGCCCUUUCUGAAUUUCCCCAAUGAUACCCAAGGUUAGUGGGUACUGUGCACUCUGGACACAAAUGCAGAAUUGAACAGCAGUGAGUCCAGCCUCUCCUCUGCUCUGGUGCUGAAGUUUGCUCCACUGAACCACCACCCCCACUUGCUUCAGAACAGGGAACUCCCUGGAAGAUUUUCAUUUUCUGCAUCAUCUGCUGAGUCUGAGAACUGACACAAUUAGUACAAAGUAGCAUGUGGCAGCGAGCCACAGAAAGCACUGCAUUUCCAAACAAUUACAGCCCAUUUUGUUUGUGCUGGGAGACACAAGUGCUCAGCCACUUGAGAAAUGCAAUUCUGUGCUGGAAAUGCACUGCCUGGAACAGUCCCUCUUACAAAAUGGAAUUUGCCAGCCAAAACUGGAAAUCGGGAAAAGAAAGUUUCUUUGUCUCAUGCUGUUUAUUGGAACCUCCAGAGUUAUCAGCCCUGCUGCUUCUUUCCUUUUUACCCAAAGCUUAUGAAAAUCAAGGCAAAAAAUCACUCUUCCUGUCCCACAUAUUUUAUAGGGAUAUGUGAAAAUAUCAUUCCCUCUAUGAAAUAUUAUCACUCCUUUAUCACAGCACUGAGCACACUUAGUCAUGUCUGUAUACCUUCCUGUGUAAACAGGGAAAACAGAAAAAUGUUAAGAAGGUGUCUCAGUCUGAUAUAUUUCCAUGCCUGAAUAUCUAUAUCACACAUUGAAAGAUUCUAGUU